ACAUCCCUGAGCCCGCAGCCCUGAGCCGAACUCCGAGUCCAGUGGUCCCGGUGUCCACAAUCACGAGUGCGAGGCAAAGGGAGAGGGAGGAAGAGAUCAGAGGGAGACCAGAGAAAGGGAACCAAAGGGGAGAAAGAAAAAAAAAAGUAGCAAGGAUUCGCCCGUUUUCUUAAGUCAGAAGAGAGAGAGAAGAGGACGGGAAGGGACUUACCUUUAGGCUCCAGCGCGGCGGCCCUCGCAGCCUCCCCAAACGCGCGCGGGAAUAGUCCGAAGACAUUAAGAGCGGAGGAAGGAGAUCCCUGAAGGAAUCCACAGAAAAGACGUCUCCAACCUGUCUCAUGUUGAAUGUCAGAGUAAUGGGAAGUGCCAGUGACAAGACGGCGUAUUACUCCUGAUUAAGUGCCGUGUCAACCUAAUUAGCAGAGUAAUUAUAAGGUGCUAAUGAAUGAUUCAAAGUUCUUUGAGUUACAUUUUACUCCAAAUUACCAUUUUAAGAACCCUAUGAAUCUGCGAGGCGGGCAUCGCUUCCGUGGCUAGGUCUGGAAUGAUGUUCGAGUGGCCUUUAAUGUCUCCAAAGGCUGGGCCGAAAUCUGGAGUUUAGUUGCAGUUCUGGAGGUCACUUUCUGGGCCACAGCUUUUAUCUGUUGAGGACGAAGGGAGGGGUGUCAGGGAGGCAAAUGACCUCCUGGGACAAGCUCUUGCCUUUCGGUCGGAACUGCUUCUGUGUGAGCCCUGGGUCCGGAAGCGGGUAGCUGGGCG
rnacentral:lncRNA from 10 species